GGCAGAGGAUGAAUUAAGGAAAGAAAUAAGUAAAGAGAUGUUUGCUAAAAUGGAUAUCGUUGGCCAGUUUAAUUUAGGAUUCCUAAUAGCCAAGCUGAACUCGGACCUCUUCAUAAUCGAUCAACAUGCGUCUGAGGAGAAAUACCAUUUUGAGCAAUUGCAAGAGCACUCUGUUCUUCAGGGACAGAAGCUGAUUUCCUCCUGUAACCCUGUAAAGAGCGAAGCCAGUUUCUUUGCCAAUGAGCAAAACCUGGGCUUUUGGUCCACAAGAGAUAGAAGACUGAUCUUCAUGUGAAGCGAUGGCCCAGGAGUGAAGCGCAGGCCUUCCAGAGUCAGGCAGAGGUUUGCUUCUGGGGCCUGUAGGAAGU